rnacentral:lncRNA from 1 species
UAGAUGAAUAGGAGGGGUAAAAAUGUGUAAAGUAAUUUCGGGAAAAUACCUAGUUGAAAUCUAAGAAUGGGACAUUCGGUUAAAUCGAAUCAGGUACGCCCAUAAGCGGGUUCGAUCCGACGGAUAUUAUGUUAUCUAAUUGGAUUAGGAUUAAUCUCGCUUUCAAAUUGGAAAGCUAAUUAGAGAUAAAUCUAAUCAUAUUAGGAUAACAAAUAAUAACCGAUUUGGCAUUAUCUCUAACGCUAUUAGGAUCUUAGAAUUCCUUAUAAAUAGACGGGCGAUCCCACAUGAAACGAUACACAAAGUACAAAAAAGAACGGAAAAAGAGAGAGAAUAAGAAAAUAAUAGAGAGAAACCACAUCCUCCAUUAACCUAUUAUUCUAGAGGGACUUGAACGGUGGAUUUGCGAUCGUGCUCGUUUGUAGUUCGAUCCACCACGAGUUCGGAGCGCAAGAAGAUUUUCAAGGACGAUCCAAGGACACGUUAACCAACCUCUAUGAUCCGGGCUCAUCACGUUCUAGCGCGAAUCGCUUCCGCAAAAAGGUACGAACCGAAAACUUCCGCUGCGUUCUACAAUCUUUUAUCACCACAAACCCGAAAUAUACAAAAGAAUAACCAUAGAUGAAUAGGAGGGGUAAAAAUGUGUAAAGUAAUUUCGGGAAAAUACCUAGUUGAAAUCUAAGAAUGGGACAGCGAGAAAUCAGCUUAAUUGUUAG